rnacentral:piRNA from 1 species
GUGGGUGAGGUAGGGUCGUGUCC